GUUCUCGGGUCUUGUACACACCGCCCGUCAUACCAUGGAAGUGGAAUUGCACCAGAAGUAGAUAGUCUAACCUUCGGGAGGGCGUUUACCACGGUGUGCUUCAUGACUGGGGUAAAGUCGUAACAAGGUAGCCGUAGGGGAACCUGUGGCUGGAUCACCUCCUU
rnacentral:rRNA from 1 species